rnacentral:rRNA from 1 species
AGAGCGAACGCUGGCGGCAGGCUUAACACAUGCAAGUCGAGCGGGCGUAGCAAUACGUCAGCGGCAGACGGGUGAGUAACGCGUGGGAACAUACCUUUUGGUUCGGAACAACACAGGGAAACUUGUGCUAAUACCGGAUAAGCCCUUACGGGGAAAGAUUUAUCGCCGAAAGAUUGGCCCGCGUCUGAUUAGCUAGUUGGUGAGGUAACGGCUCACCAAGGCGACGAUCAGUAGCUGGUCUGAGAGGAUGAUCAGCCACAUUGGGACUGAGACACGGCCCAAACUCCUACGGGAGGCAGCAGUGGGGAAUAUUGGACAAUGGGCGCAAGCCUGAUCCAGCCAUGCCGCGUGAGUGAUGAAGGCCCUAGGGUUGUAAAGCUCUUUUGUGCGGGAAGAUAAUGACGGUACCGCAAGAAUAAGCCCCGGCUAACUUCGCGCCAGCCAGCCGC